rnacentral:misc_RNA from 1 species
GCCAAAUCAAAAUAAAUCACAAUAAUGCAUUCAAACUAUUAAAGUUAAACCCCAUUCUCUCAGAUAGCAUAAAUCACCAUGCACUCUACUCCACUCUAAGAUUGCGAGUAGAGCCCAAAAGGAGGCUAUUGCAUGCAAGCCAAAGCCCAAUCCCAUUGGUACAUUUUAAAUAAAAGACGCUUUUAAAAUCUUCCAUUAACAGUAAUCAGAGGCUCUUCAUGGUUAACAUUGAUAGAGAACUAGUUUCUUUGAUAUGUCAGAUUGGUUAGGUUCGGUGUUCUAACUUAUUUGCUUCAUUUUGGUUAACAUUUAAAAGAAUUUGAUAAAAUUCAAUAAGCAAAAAAUUUUGAUUUGGUUAAUCAAAUACACAGCCAUAAAUU